AUAAAUCAUUUUUUUAUAAAUAAAAAAUAAAAAUAAAGAGUCAAGUCUCCUAUUCAAGAAUAAACAACCAUGCUUAUAUUCAUCUGAAAAUCCCCAAAUCCUCAGUCAAAACAUUACGAUUUCGCACACGGCGACGGCGGCUCCUUGUUUUUGAAACAAUUGACCAAAAACACUGAAUCAAAUCAAGAAAAGAAAAGUCAAAUUGUUAUCUUUUCUUUUCCAUUUCUUUUUUCGCCCAAGAAAAGUAGGUUUGGAAUGGAAUCAAUACCCAAUGGUUGGUGACGCAGUAUAAAUCACCCGCCGCAUCUCACCCAAAUUACUGAAAUUGCCUGAAUCCAGCUUCCUCUUCCCCAACUUGAUUCGAUAAAUAACCAGAAAAAUUUGCCUUCAGAAGGUGAAAACAUUCAGAGCUGUUUAAUUCUUCGGAUUCAUCAACUUUCUUCACAACCCUAGACGAAAACGAUGGCUUCCAUGAAUUUUUCUUGCCCAUCGACUUCGCUUUCUCGCUCUGGGUUAGUGUUUCUCUCUAUUCUGAUGCAGUAUCUGCUGUUAUUCUUUCUGGGCUCGUCUCGCUUUCUGCUUCUUCUUUUGCUGCGUGAUUGAAAGAUUCAAUCUUUCUUGUUUUUGAUCACAUUAAAAUAUGAUAAAUCCAACAUUAAUAAAUUACACUAUUAACCCUAUAUAGAAUAAAGAACUUGGGGAAUACAACUUAUGCUUUAUGUUGCCUUGGUCAUUUAGAAAAAAUAUAAAAACUUUUAUUUCCAUAUAAUACCUUUACCUAAUGCAUAUGUUGCUCAUAUCACUCACGUUAACUAAUUAGUGAGGGAAAAAGAAAAAAAAAAACGUAUACAGAAACACUACGUAGAAUUCAUGUUGUAACUGUAUUAACUAUCAUAGAAAGAUGCUAAAAAGAGUUUUAACUCACAAUCAAGUGUUUAUAGUCUAAUUCCUUGUAUAGAUUAUGAUAGUAUCUCUUAACAUCCCAUGCUGAUUAUUAUUCUUCCAACUUCCCCUCAGGCGCUAGCUUUCACCAAAAACAAAAGAAAACAACAGUAGAAAAUUUCGGAAGGAAUGAACUCUGCUCGAAAGCUACUCAAUUGUAGUGAAGAAAGUAAGAAAUGCACAAGCAAAUGAUCGUUAUUAAUGGUGAAACUAGAUUGUUCAGUCAUCAUAAGCAUAGAGACGAAAAUGUUAGAGAUACUUAAACAUUUUUCAUCUAAUAAAGCACAACACCAACCAUACAUCCAUAUUGAAGAACUUGAUCUCGCACUGUCAUUGGCUCUAUUCCCGUGCCUGCACACGGAUGAAGACGUCAUUGCCAAUGAAAUCUAAAGAAUAUUUUAAACUCUUCUUUAAUUUGGCAUUGAAUCAAAUCGCUGAUACCAAAUAAUAAAACUUGCCUCUUAAGUGUAGCUACCAGCUCGAUCACUUGGUAUCACACGCAGGACCUACGAUGAGAUUGAAUGGUACCUCAAAUUUGCCUUUUGGUUUUCCCUUCUUUGCUUCUUCGAUCUUCUUGGCGGACUGAACUGCAGAAAAGCGAACGCGAUCUAUUUCCAAUUUCUCAAG
rnacentral:lncRNA from 1 species